rnacentral:rRNA from 1 species
UACGGAGGAUGCAAGCGUUAUCCGGAAUUAUUGGGCGUGAAGCGUCCGUAGGUGGCUAAUCAAGUCUGCUGUCAAAGCGUGGAGCUUAACUCCAUAACGGCGGUGGAAACUGAUGAGCUAGAGUGCGAUAGGGGUAGCAGGAAUUCCCAGUGUAGCGGUGAAAUGCGUAGAGAUCGGGAAGAACAUCGGUGGCGAAGGCGCUCUACUGGACCACAACUGACACUCAGGGACGAAAGCUAGGGGAGCGAAUGGG